AUUACUUAAUUAGUGCAGUUUCCAUUAAAGGAUUUUGAAUUUUUACAUUUGGUUUUUACUCAAAUAUAGGGAUCUUUGAAACUUAAUGAUUGAAAGACUUCAUCCAUAAAAGAAAGAAUGUUUUAAAAACUUUUGCUAACAGGGCCAAACUAAUUAUUGAUGGUGAAAAUUAGAUGAUUACAAUGUCAGCAGCUUCUGAUUAAGUGCUAUUAAGAAAUUUGCAAGAAGGUCAACUGUUAAAUUAGUCAUUCAAAAUGCUUGUCUUAAAGCAAACAUACUGACUGCUUACUGCUGAAUGCUCAUUUACCUAAUAGACCUGCUUUAUUUAGGUCAGUUUGGGGUGAGAAGGAGAUGCACAACUAAAGUUGAAAAGAACAAAGAUCUGCCUUCAGCCAAAGAAAGAUCAGAUGACGAGGUACCAGUGGCCAUUGAAGUCUCUGGAAAUUCUAACACAACUAAAGAGCGAUCACAAACAAAGAGACAGAAGUGGAGCCAAGAAGAAGUCCAGGCAGUGGAGAAAACGCUCAUGAACUGUAUCAACUUUGGAACUGUUCCUCGGAAAGCCGAGUGUAUGAAGUGCAUUGAAGCCUCACCAGUGGCCCUCAAAAACAGGACAUGGCAAGCAGUUAAAUUCUAUGUGAAAAACCGCAUAGACGCAUUAAAACGAAAAACUUUCAAAAGAAGGCAAGCGUUGACCUUUUAUUACUACCCUUUUAUUAAACGGGCCAUUUGUUAGUGCCACAUCCAAGCUGCUUCUGUUUGGAGUUUUGAAUUUUUAGGACAGUUGCAGUCAAGGUCAAGUCAACUAAAACUGCAUGUUCAUAUAUACGUAUUGAUGAAUAGGUAUUGUUUUAGUUUUUCAUUUAUUUGUACAUAUUGGCUUGUAUGUAUUCUUUGCCAUAAGAUAGAAAUUUUGAAAUCUAUUCAAUAAAAUGGCUUACAUACAACCAGAAAGAGGAGUCCAGUAUUAAUGGUUAGCAAUAACAAGGUUACCAGGUACUUAAUUAAAUUAGAAUUUAUAAAUAUUUUAUUAACCCAAAAGAAAAAUUGAAGGUUGUGGCUCCUAUUCUGCAGGUUUCUUCAAAGAACUAUUGUAGAUUCUGAUGCCUGUAGACAGGAAGGAUCUUCUGUAGCGAUCUUUAUUACAGGAAAUCUAAUGAAACCUGAUACUCUGGUGUUGUAUAACAGUCUGAUGAAGAGGAUGUUUGGAUCCAGGAUUUUUUAUUUUUAUGCAAAACCAUUCUUUGCACAAUUAUUUCCAGAGGUUCUAGAGGAGCACCUGCCUUCUUAAUCAGCUUGCUGAACUUCUUUAGGUUGAUUGCUCUGAUGCUGCCACACCAAAAGAUGUAAAAAAGAUCACAAAAACAUAUUUUUUUAUAAAAAAAUUCUAAUAUAAUGUGGUUUAUUGAUUUAAAAGAACACUGAUUGCUCAUAUUUGAUAUCUUCGAAUGUAUCUUGGUUUUCCCUAAAACUAAACCCAACACUGCCACCUGGUGGUU